UCUUCGUCGUCUCAAAACUUUAACCAAUUCCUCCUCCUCAUCUCCACCGUCCGUUGCAAUAAAUCUCUCCUGGCUUUCCUCAGCCCUUGAUUUUCUCUCCUACACACAUAACGAAGCCAUAAAUCUACUUUCUUCUCUCAAGCUCGAUAAUUCUUUGGAUUUUUACCUGGAUAACAGUGUCAGGCUCCUCGAUCUCUGCAACUCGAUCAGUUCAGAGAUCGAACGCUUCCGCCAUCGCCGACUUGUCCUCAGUUUUGCACUUCACG
rnacentral:lncRNA from 1 species